GAUGAACGCUGGCGGUAUGCUUAACACAUGCAAGUCGAACGGACUCUUCGGAGUUAGUGGCGGACGGGUGAGUAACGCGUGAGAAUCUGGCCUUGGGUUCGGGACAACCACUGGAAACGGUAGCUAAUACCGGAUGUGCCGAGAGGGAAAAGAGAAAUUGCCUGAAGAUGAGCUCGCGUCUGAUUAGCUAGUUGGUGAGGGAAAGGCCCACCAAGGCAGCGAUCAGUAGCGGGUCUGAGGGGAAGACCAGCCACACGGGGACUGAGACACGGCCCAGACUCCUACGGGAGAGAGGUGGGGGGAAUUUUCCGCAAGGGGCGAGAGCCUGACGGAGCAGUACCGCGUGGGGGAAGAAGGCUCUUGGGUUGUAAACCUCUUUUCUUAGGGGAGAACAAAAUGACGGUACCUAAUGAAUCAGCAUCGGCUAACUCCGUG
rnacentral:rRNA from 1 species